AGCAAAUAGCAUCGAAAGAAAGAGCCUGGAGCACAGGGCAGAUGUGACUGGAGUGAUUUGCGCCCGGAUGCUUAGACUGGCCAUCUGCUCAGAGGCUGCUCAGGAAGACCCGCCCAUGUGCUCUUCUGUCGCAGACUAGCCUGCUCUGCCUGUAGCUGUGGGUUUCCAGGACCUCAGACCAACAACCAUCUCUUCCUGCCACUUUGAAUUAGAUUUCUCUGGAUAUCUCAGGUAAGUGGAUCCAUUCAUUAUAUGUCCUUUUGCAUCUGGCUUGUUUCAUUUAGAAUGACGUUUUUAAUGUUCAUCCA